CGCCCGCCCACUGCGCGGGCGAGCUACGGGAGCUGCAGAGGCGGCCGCCGGCUAGCCGGGACCUGGGAGUGGAGAAAGGCUGCCCACGUGGCUGGCGGGAGCCUCCCGGCCUGGGAUUGGUCGAAAAGGAGGGGCGUGGGCGGGCAUGGGGGCGGUUCCCCCGCCCAGGUCUCUCACUCUGCCAGGUUUCUCAGGCGGACUGUAACUGGUGGCAUUUGUCCCGGGACCAGGAGCCCUGCUGGUGCAGUGGUGACGUGAGGGAGUGGAGGGAUCUGCAGUCCUGUGAUGAGGUCUCAGUCUUCUGUCCCUCCUGCAGUAUGGUCAAGCACAGAGCUGACCACCAGCAGGCCCUUAGGAAACACGUGUUGGUGCCCAGUUGCUCAAUCUGAUGACCAUUCACUGGGGCCCUCCCAAGCCGAGUCAGAUGAUGCCCAGUAGCUGGUCCACAGUUUUAUGUGUGAACAAGAUGGAGGCUGACCUGACUGGCUUUAACAUCGAUGCCCCCCGUUGGGACCAGCGCACCUUCCUGGGGAGAGUGAAGCACUUCCUAAACAUCACGGACCCCCGCACUGUCUUCGUAUCUGAGCAGGAGUUGGACUGGGCCAAGGUGAUGGUGGAGAAGAGCAGGAUGGGGGUUGUGCCCCCAGGCACCCAAGUGGAGCAGCUGCUAUAUGCCAAGAAGCUAUAUGACUCGGCCUUCCACCCCGACACUGGGGAGAAGAUGAACGUCAUCGGGCGCAUGUCUUUCCAGCUCCCUGGCGGCAUGAUCAUCACGGGCUUCAUGCUCCAGUUCUACAGGACGAUGCCGGCGGUCAUCUUCUGGCAGUGGGUGAACCAGUCCUUCAAUGCCUUAGUCAACUACACCAACAGGAAUGCGGCUUCCCCCGUAUCAGUCAGGCAUGAAGCCUCACCAGCCGACUUUCUCCCUCAAGCCCGUGGUUUGGCUCUCAGCUGGCAGGCGCCCCACUCCCAAGCAUCUCUGUCCUCCCCCAGGCAGAUGACCGUUUCCUACUUCACAGCCACAACCACUGCUGUGGCCACGGCUGUGGGCAUGAACAUGUUGACAAAGAAAGCACCGCCCUUGGUGGGCCGCUGGGUGCCCUUUGCCGCUGUGGCUGCGGCUAACUGUGUCAAUAUCCCCAUGAUGCGACAGCAGGAGCUCAUCCAGGGAAUCUGCGUGAAGGACAGGAAUGAAAAUGAGAUUGGUCAUUCCCGGAGAGCUGCGGCCAUAGGCAUCACCCAAGUAGUUAUUUCUCGGAUCACCAUGUCAGCUCCUGGGAUGAGUAAGACAGGGAAGCCCUUCCAUCCUGGGGAACCCUGUGACACAGGAUGGAGUCUUGCUGCCAGUCGUCAUGGAAAGGCUUGAGAAACUGCACUUCAUGCAGAAAGUCAAGGUCCUGCACGCCCCAUUGCAGGUCAUGCUGUGUGGGUACUUCCUCAUCUUCAUGGUGCCAGUGGCGUGUGGGCUCUUCCCACAGAAAUGUGAAUUACCCGUUUCCUAUCUGGAACCAGAGCUCCGAGACACCAUCAAGGCCAAGUAUGGAGAACUUGAGCCUUAUGUCUACUUCAAUAAGGGUCUCUAAAUGCCCCGCCUCAGCAAGGACCAGUCUAUCCCCAUAUUCACCAGCUCCUUCUUAGCUACGUGCACACUUGUGUCCUCCUUCCUCUUUGCCAACAAGCCCCAAAAGCCAGGAUAGAUUGGGGGGUGUGACAAUGAAUGCCUCAUGCUUACACCCCAGUACUGGUUGAUUGGACCUCAGGGGAAAAAAGUGAAAAAGGGUAGCAAAGGCCAAUGUCUUCUAGCUGCUUCCUCCUUAACCCCUGUCCCCUGGAAACCAGAAGCUGAGGCCCUCUCAGGGAGGAGACACCAAGCAAAUCAUUUGGAAAAGUUAGGAAACCUUUAGGAUUCUGGUUCCAGCCAGGAUUGAGGAAAAGACCUUGGAUCAAAAGGAAACUUCUAUAUCUCUUUCUUUUUCACUUCCUCUUCCUCUCCCGAGCAAUGGAACCUUUUAAUCAUGUAAUUCUAGCCGAACUCAGGAAAAAGAAGGGGGAAAGGACUCUGUCCUCUUGGGGCUCAUCUCCACCCUUCCCCAUCCUCCUCCUCGUUGGCCCCUGGUCAGACAGCUUUAUUUUCCCCCCAAGAUGGAGUCUUGCUCUGUCGUCCAGGCUGGAGUGCAGUGGCGCGAUCUCAGCUUACUGCAACCUCUGCCUCCUGGAUUCAAGCGAUUCUCCUGCCUCAACCUCUCAAGUAGCUGGGAUUACAGGGCACCCACCACCACGCCCAGCUAAUUUUUGUAUUUUAGUAGAGACGGGGUUUCACCAUGUUGGCCAGGCUGGUCUCGAACUCCUGACCUCAGGUGAUCCGCCCGUCUCGGCCUCCCAAAGUGCUGGGAUUACAGGCAUGAGCCACAGCACCCAGCCUGGACAGCUUUUUUGGGAAUGCUGCUAACCUUGAAAUGAUCAGACACCUAGGAGUUAUUAGUGCUAAAAAGGGGACCAUGCAAGGCAGCAGAGUUACAUGAUUCUUCAAAUCAUGUCUGAAUCUAUUCUUGGAAUCUUCCGUAUAAUAAGGGAAGUUCUCUUUCCCCACUGCCACAUAUGUCUGUUUUAAAAGAUAAGUCCGCUAACUGUGAGUAGAAAUGACGUAUGUAGGCAUUAACUGUACACUUUAAUGGAUAUAAUUUCCUGCCUGCUUCCCUUCCUCAGCCCAGUAGGUUAAACAGCAAAGACAGACUGGUGUGUACUGAAUAGGAAAGGGAAGUUUUAUUUGGAACCCUCUGAGAGGAAAUCAACCAGGACCAAAGAGCCUUAAAGGACACAGAGCAAAGCACAGCCACUUCCCUUCCCCAGCUUGGCUGCCCUAGGUGAUUUCUCAGGCUCCUUGGGGGACUGUUGUUUCUCAUCUGGAAUCAAUGUGUGUAUGAGUUUUGUCUGGUAGGAUUGCUGUCUCCGUCCAAAUGAUAUCACUGUGAACUGAAUAAAUUUGUUGAAAAAGCACAUAGGCACACACACACA